CUGGCGGCGUGCCUAAUACAUGCAAGUCGAACGGACUUUUCUAUGGAAGCUUGCUUCCACUGAGAAGAUAGUGGCGAACGGGCGAGUAACACGUGGGUAACCUGCCCAUAAGAGGGGGAUAACAUCCGGAAACGGGUGCUAAUACCGCAUAGUUUUCUUGAUUGCAUGAUUGAGAAGGAAAGACGGCCUUUGUGCUGUCGCUUAUGGAUGGACCCGCGGCGUAUUAGUUAGUUGGUGAGGUAACGGCUCACCAAGACGAUGAUACGUAGCCGACCUGAGAGGGUGAUCGGCCACAUUGGGACUGAGACACGGCCCAAACUCCUACGGGAGGCAGCAGUAGGGAAUCUUCCGCAAUGGACGAAAGUCUGACGGAGCAACGCCGCGUGAGUGAAGAAAAGGUUUUCGGAUCGUAAAACUCUGUUGUCAGAGAAGAACAAGUUGGAGAGUAACUGCUCCAGCCUUGACGGUAUCUGACCAGAAAGCCACGGCUAACUACGUGCCAGCCGCCGC
rnacentral:rRNA from 1 species